GUUCCCUUCUUCUUCGAGCCAUCGGUAGCGGCAGCGCAGCCUCCAAAUUUCCCCAAUCUAAUGGCGUAAGAAAUCCCUCCUGGACCAACCCCUCUCGCCCAUCUUUGUAUCUCUCGCUUGACGGCGGUGGCACCAUUCAGAUCCAAUGCCAAGCUUGUACGAAAGGUGUCAUUCCAUCUCCGCUCUGACGGCUCCUGACCGUCUCAUUGCGAGCGGCCUAGUUCCAGUACGAGGAUCCCUGUACUACCAAGUUCCGCCCCAAUCUGUGCCCGGCAGCUCAGUUAUGUCUAUCCCAUGUUGGGCUCGUCUGCUCCUUCCCCUCUCAUGCUGAACAUCAAGAAGGAUCUAAUAGAAGAAGUCCUGACUCAGAAGGACCCUAUGGAAGGGUCGUUUCCUGGAACGAAAAUAGGACAUGGCUGGAUGAAUAACUUGCUAAUGCUGAAGCAAUUCUACAACAGCAAAGCCAACCAUUAUGGUGUGAAUUGUCACAGUAUGUAACUGAACUAUAUAUAGAAAAUGAAUUAUGAAUCGCCAUAUCAUUCCCAUGAAUGUUGCUGAGUCUCAUGUUCAAGUGUUCGCUCAAAAGUCAACUACAGACUCAUUUGUUAUCUAGAAAUAUAUGUUAAACAAACAUACCUCCUGUUUUUUCGCAUCA